rnacentral:tRNA from 1 species
GGCUGGUUCGACGAUACGCGCGUCGCGCUCUACGUGGGCGCGGCGUGGCUCGCGCUGCUCGCGGCCGUGUUCUACGCACGGAUCCGCCC